AUUUCAUGAUGAGGACAAUCUUGAAUGUAUCCUUGCAAAUGUUCCCAUGCUUCCAAAAUGGUUUGUCUUCCACUGUUGGAAAUUAGUAAUCUUUCCUCUUAAGGC
rfam:Sorghum bicolor cultivar BTx623 chromosome 10, whole genome shotgun sequence.